rnacentral:rRNA from 1 species
GAUGAACGCUGGCGGCGUGCCUAAUACAUGCAAGUCGAGCGAACGGACGAGCAGCUUGCUUCUCUGAUGUUAGCGGCGGACGGGUGAGUAACACGUGGAUAACCUACCUAUAAGACUGGGAUAACUUCGGGAAACCGGAGCUAAUACCGGAUAAUAUUUUGAACCGCAUGGUUCAAAAGUGAAAGACGGUCUUGCUGUCACUUAUAGGUGGAUCCGCGCUGCAUUAGCUAGUUGGUAAGGUAACGGCUUACCAAGGCAACGAUGCAUAGCCGACCUGAGAGGGUGAUCGGCCACACUGGAACUGAGACACGGCCCAGACUCCUACGGGAGGCAGCAGUAGGGAAUCUUCCGCAAUGGGCGAAAGCCUGACGGAGCAACGCCGCGUGAGUGAUGAAGGUCUUCGGAUCGUAAAACUCUGUUAUUAGGGAAGAACAUAUGUGUAAGUAACUGUGCACAUCUUGACGGUACCUAAUCAGAAAGCCACGGCUAACUACGUG